rnacentral:rRNA from 1 species
CAGUAGCCGCGGGAAUACGGAGGGUGCAAGCGUUAAUCGGAAUUACUGGGCGUAAAGCGCACGCAGGCGGUCUGUCAAGUCAGAUGUGAGAUCCCCGGGCUUAACCUAGGAACUGCAUUUGAAACUGGCAGGCUAGAGUCUUGUAGAGGGGGGUAGAAUUCCAGGUGUAGCGGUGAAAUGCGUAGAGAUCUGGAGGAAUACCGGUGGCGAAGGCGGCCCCCUGGACAAAGACUGACGCUCAGGUGCGAAAGCGUGGGGAGCAAACAGGAUUAGAUACCCCUGUAGUCCCUGUCUCUUAUAC